GGCAAAACCUGAGGGACUGCCGGGUAUAGCCGAAGUGUCUCCGUGAUCACUGCAUGCAGGACAGCUAGAGAAAAGUGCUUUCGAAAUAAGAGAGUUUCUGCUUUAUUACCUUGUUAUUUCCGCCAGUCGCUCGAGCUUCUUCUAUCUCAGCUUUUCUUCUUCGAAUAACCGAAGGGUCAAUGAAACGAAGUGUCACAAUGAUGUUUGCAGUGUCAAAAGCCUGAGCAAAGCGAUUGUCUGGCAGACUAGGAGCUAGAGUUCCAAUUUCUACACCAAAU